UUUUUUUUCUGUCUUCUAGGAAGUAAAAGAUGAUUAUGUGUUUGAAUGUGAAGUUGGUAAUCAGCUGCAAAAAACAAAGCUGACCAUUUUUCAAUCUCUUGGCAAUCCGUUGUACUACGGUAAAAUUCAGACACUCAAAGGUGAUGAUGAGAGUGACAGCUUAUUAGUUCCACCACAGUUCCUCAUUGGUUCUAAGACUGAUGCUGAAAGAGUGGUGAACCAGUAUCACGAGUUGGUAAAAAGUGAAGCCAAAUGUCCUGUGAAAAUGUUUCAUAAUUCAGGUGGAUCAAUCAAUCUUAGUCAUCUUUCUCCAGGGAAGGAAAUGGAACCCGAAAGUAUAUCAGGCUCUGUUCAAUCUUCAGUAUUGGGGAAAGGUGUAAAACACCGACCUCCUCCCAUCAAAUUACCUUCAAGUUCAGGAAGUAGCUCUUCAGGUAAUAUCUUUAGUCCACAGCAGUCAAGUG